rnacentral:rRNA from 1 species
ANACUUUCAACAACGGAUCUCUUGGUUCUGGCAUCGAUGAAGAACGCAGCGAAAUGCGAUAAGUAAUGUGAAUUGCAGACUUCAGUGAAUCAUCGAAUCUUUGAACGCACAUUGCGCCCGCCAGCAUUCUGGCGGGCAUGCCUGUCCGAGCGUCAUUU